rnacentral:rRNA from 1 species
AGAGUGAACGCUGGCGGUAGGCCUAACACAUGCAAGUCGAACGGCAGCACAGGAGAGCUUGCUCUCUGGGUGGCGAGUGGCGGACGGGUGAGGAAUACAUCGGAAUCUACCUUUUCGUGGGGGAUAACGUAGGGAAACUUACGCUAAUACCGCAUACGUCCUACGGGAGAAAGCGGGGGACCUUCGGGCCUCGCGCCAUUAGAUGAGCCUAGGUCGGAUUAGCUAGUUGGUGAGGUAAUGGCUCACCAAGGCGACGAUCCGUAACUGGUCUGAGAGGAUGAUCAGUCACACUGGAACUGAGACACGGUCAGACUCCUACGGAGCAGCAGUGGGAAUAUUGGACAAUGGGCGAAAGCCUGAAUCCAGCCAUGCCGCGUGUGUGAAGAAGGUCUUCGGAUUGUAAAGCUACUUUAAGUUGGAGGUAAGGUUGUAAACUUAAGUACGUUGACUAACUUUGACGUUUACCGACAAGAAUAAGCAACCGGCUAAACUUCGU